rnacentral:rRNA from 1 species
AUUGAACGCUGGCGGCAUGCCUUACACAUGCAAGUCGAACGGCAGCGCGGGGCAACCUGGCGGCGAGUGGCGAACGGGUGAGUAACAUAUCGGAACAUACCCUAGAGUGGGGGAUAACGUAGCGAAAGUUACGCUAAUACCGCAUACGCACUAAGGUGGAAAGUGGGGGAUCUUCGGACCUCAUGCUCAUGGAGUGGCCGAUAUCUGAUUAGCUAGUUGGUGAGGUAAAGGCUCACCAAGGCGACGAUCAGUAGCUGGUUUGAGAGAACGACCAGCCACACUGGAACUGAGACAACGGUCCAGAACUCCUACGGGAGGCAGCAGUGGGGAAUUUUGGACAAUGGGGGCAACCCGUGAUCCAGCAAUGACCGCGUG